rnacentral:lncRNA from 1 species
AGAAAAGCGCUUGUUACAUCCCACAUGAAAGGGGCCCCGCAAACUUCGGCUGUUCAAAUCGUGGAUCCACGUUUCCAUUUGCAAAUUGAUUAAUCCUGAAAGUCAUUCUUUUACUGAUAAAAAGGAUUGAAUGGACAACAUGUCUCUCCAUCAGAAAGGAGUUCUAAUAGGGGAGUAUUGUCCAGCUCAGAGUUAACUCUACUUUUAAAGUAUAUUGCAUUGUUUGUGUCAAAGUAAGAUUCAUCUAGUAUGCCUCAUUGAUUAUGGGGUAAUAAUAAAAUGGUAUUUUUAUUGGAG